rnacentral:lncRNA from 1 species
UUCUCUUUAUUUCUUCAUUAUAAAAUCAAAUUCACCAUCCUAGAUAUCUCGUUCGUUAUCUGUAGAUAUUAAUUUCAGUUAAGAAAUAAUUUAAAUGUCACAUUAUAAGUUAUAUUACGGUAAGGAUAUUCGUUUUCAUUUGCAAAGGAACAGUCAAGGCCAUAUGUUUUAGUGCUAAAGUUAAAUUCCAAUUUCUCAUUAGACUUUUUGCUCUAGGUUUUUUUGAGGUAAUAAUAUAAAAAAGUUUUAACGAAUAUCAGACAUGUCAUGCGCAUGUCCCUGCCAUGUCUGAUUUGAUGAUUUGAAUUAGUUUCAGUUUGACAUGACAUAUGUAUACCUAACCUGAGUUUUUUUUGUUUUGGUUUCCAGUGCAGUGACCCUAUGCUGUCUACACAUAGUGUUAUAAAUAAUGUAAUUAAAUUGAUAAAAUUUAUUUUAGAUUCCGUCCCGUAGCUACUUGUCACAUAGACACUUAGCCUAGUCAAUUUAUAUAGAUUGUAUCAUCAUUUAAUGUGCCAUCAUAUAAAUAUGUGCCAGUUACUGUAAGCAGCUAGGGUAUGGGUUACCCCUAGAGUUACUUUUGAUUGGAUUAGAUAGUACCUAUUUCACAACAUCCAGGAUUGGAUUUAUCACCACAGCAGCCCACUAGUUUUUGCCGUGCCAAGAGGAAAUUCAUUCCUAUCUGGACCUUUUUAAAUAGGACUUGUGGUUAAGAUAAGUUGUUUAAUCUUAUUAUUUACAUAUUUUGGGUACUCUAUAGUUGCUUGCACUGUAAACUUCUUGUAUGCAUACAAUUGAGGUAAACUAGGUACAUAUUUCUUGAUAGAUAGGGUUUUAGGUCGUUGGUUUUUUUUGAUUUAAUAUAAGUAGUAGUUUCCGAUAAAUAAAAUUAGGUCUUGUUCAAUAAUCCUUAUAAAUAAUAAUUGUAGCUUAAAAAUUUGAUAGGGAAGGGGUUGUUAAAGGUUUGUCGCGGAUUUCAAAUAGGGAAUAUGUCUUGUAGGUUUUUACAUCAUUGUAUAUAAAGAGUAACUGACCAACUCAUUUAUACAACUCAUUUAUAUCACUCAUUUAUAUAACUCAUUAUAUAUUUACUUAUUAGUGUUUUUGCUAGGUGAGAUCUUUAUGAUUUUUGGUAACGGUAGCGUUCUUGUUGUGGAUCUCACUUUAGCGUAGUUCAAUUUAGGAAAUAAUUACUAACUUUUUAGUUGUAAGGACUUAGUGCUAUUCUGACGGACUUUUGAUUUGGAUUUUGAUUUUAAUACUUUUGCUUGGCCAGUGAUAGUGGAUAAUUGCUUGUUGAGUGGCCUUUGCGGUCCUAUUUUAUCUUUUCCCCAUCCACUAUCACUGUUAUUACGUUGCGUUAUAUGUAAAGUGUUAACAACAUUUAAUAUUUAUUAUUAAUAUAUUUGUAUGUAUUAA